AGCGAACGCUGGCGGCAGGCUUAACACAUGCAAGUCGAGCGGGCGUAGCAAUACGUCAGCGGCAGACGGGUGAGUAACGCGUGGGAACAUACCUUUUGGUUCGGAACAACACAGGGAAACUUGUGCUAAUACCGGAUAAGCCCUUACGGGGAAAGAUUUAUCGCCGAAAGAUUGGCCCGCGUCUGAUUAGCUAGUUGGUGAGGUAAUGGCUCACCAAGGCGACGAUCAGUAGCUGGUCUGAGAGGAUGAUCAGCCACAUUGGGACUGAGACACGGCCCAAACUCCUACGGGAGGCAGCAGUGGGGAAUAUUGGACAAUGGGGCAACCCUGAUCCAGCCAUGCCGCGUGAGUGAUGAAGGCCCUAGGGUUGUAAAGCUCUUUUGUGCGGGAAGAUAAUGACGGUACCGCAAGAAUAAGCCCCCGGCUAAACUUCGUGCCAGCAGCCGCGGUAAU
rnacentral:rRNA from 1 species